GGUCGCGGUGUGUCAAUCGGACACGACGGAGAUGAUGAACGCACCGGUUUUUCCGAUUUCUCGGUGCGGGCAACGAAACGCCAGGCGAGCAUCUAACCCGUCCGCCGU
rfam:Rhizobium gallicum bv. gallicum R602, complete genome.